UGACAGGAGGCUACAUUACCACCACCACCACCACCACCAGAUGACUGAGGCAUCACCCUCUUAAUUCUGUUGUAUUAUGUACUAUAUAAUUAUCUUGUAUCUGUAGUUCAUACCCUAAUGUGUACUUUAUUGUAUUAUGGUAUUGUAUUACAAAUAUUGUUUCUCAUUUUCUGGUGUAAUGUAUUAAUAAAGCCUCCAAGUGCUCAA